GUACUCCAGGCUGGUCUGACUGGUACGAUGAGCAAUAUCCUGAUGAAGAAAAUGGCGGAGAUGAGGAAUCUUACCAGAAGGUCAUAGCCUCAGGAAAAGUGGUUUGUCUGCCUGACUCACCAGUGCAAAACAUUGAAUGCAAAGCAGAGAGAUUCCCUAAUACCCCAUGGCAGGAAUUGGGCCAGACAAUCACUUGUGACAAGAAUGAAGGACUGAAAUGUGUAAGUGAGGAUCAAGGAGGACUGCCAUGUUACAACUACAAGGUCAGAUUCUGCUGCUCCAGAGCAAGUGGACCCCCUGAACCAACUCCAUCUUCACGAAGCCCAGAACCAACUAAAUCUAAGGACAAGACACCCGCACCUCCAACCUCCAGCAACAAGGAGCCAGAACCAUCACCCCCAAGUCCAGGCCCAGUGACACCCAAUCCCCCGGUUGAGGAAAAGCCAACAAAGCCAGCUCCAGAAGAGAGUGGCGCUCCUCCUCAAGAACCAACUGCACCGAAGGACAAGACACCCCCACCUCCAACCUCCGGCAUCAAGGAGCCAGAACCCUCACCCUCAGGAG